rnacentral:misc_RNA from 1 species
AAGUCGUAACAAGGUUUCCGUAGGUGAACCUGCGGAAGGAUCAUUAUCGAGUUAGGGUCUUCAUGGCCUGACCUCCAACCCUGUGUUUAUUAUACCACGUUGCUUCGGCGGGUCCGUCUUUUAUCGGACCCGCCCGGGGGGUCGGGCUGCAGGACCGAGAUUCCCUUUCCUGGGGCCCCCGGCCGGCCCCCGGCCCCGGAAUUCGGGGCCCCCCCAAUGAAACCCCAAUUCAAAAUCGUUCAUUGAAUAUCAAUCCAGUUUGGUUUUCGUGCAUGGAGUUUUCCUUUUAAAAAAUUUUAAAAAUUUAAAAAAACCAAAAAAACCUUUU